rnacentral:rRNA from 1 species
UACGUAGGUGGCAAGCGUUGUCCGGAAUUAUUGGGCGUAAAGCGCGCGCAGGCGGUCCUUUAAGUCUGAUGUGAAAUCCUGGAGCUCAACUCCAGAACUGCCUUCGAUACUGGGAAUCUUGAGUCCGGAAGAGGUGAGUGGAACUGCGAGUGUAGAGGUGAAAUUCGUAGAUAUUCGCAAGAACACCAGUGGCGAAGGCGGCUCACUGGUCCGGUACUGACGCUGAGGUGCGAAAGCGUGGGGAGCAAACAGG